AUUGAACGCUGGCGGCAGGCCUAACACAUGCAAGUCGAACGAGUGGCGGACGGGUGAGUAAUGUCUGGGACACUGCCUGAUGGAGGGGGAUAACUACUGGAAACGGUAGCUAAUACCGCCUACCAUCACCUGUGCCCAGAUGGGAUGGGCUUGUGGGGGGGGUAACGGCUCACCACGGCGACGAUCCCUAGCUGGUCUGAGAGGAUGACCAGCCAACCUGGACCUGAGACACGGUCCGGACUCCUACGGGAGGCAGCAGUGGGGAAUAUUGCACAAUGGGGGAAAGCCUGAUGCAGCCAUGCCGCGUGUAUGAAGAAGGCCUUCGGGUUGUAAAGUACUUUCAGCGGGGAGGCGUUACCCGCAGAAGAAGCACCGGCUAACUCCGUGCCAGCAGCCGCGGUAAUAC
rnacentral:rRNA from 1 species